UACGUAGGGUGCAAGCGUUGUUCGGAAUUAUUGGGCGUAAAGCGAACGUAGGCGGGUUAGUAAGUCAAGUGUGAAAUCCCUGAGCUCAACUCGGGAAUUGCAUUCGAUACUGCUAAUCUUGAAUGCUUGAGAGGGUGGUGGAAUUCCAGGUGUAGGAGUGAAAUUCGUAGAUAUCUGGAGGAACAUCCGUGGCGAAGGCGGCCACCUGGCAAGAAAUUGACGCUGAGGUUCGAAAGCGUGGGGAUCGAACAGG
rnacentral:rRNA from 1 species